AUUGAACGCUGGCGGCAUGCCUUACACAUGCAAGUUGAACGGCAGCACGGACUUCGGUCUGGUGGCGAGUGGCGAACGGGUGAGUAAUAUAUCGGAACAUACCUUGUAGUGGGGGAUAACUAUCCGAAAGGAUAGCUAAUACCGCAUACGCUCUAAGGAGGAAAGCGGGGGAUCGUAAGACCUCGUGCUAUAAGAGUGGCCGAUAUCUGAUUAGCUAGUUGGUGAGGUAAAGGCUCACCAAGGCGACGAUCAGUAGCUGGUCUGAGAGGACGACCAGCCACACUGGAACUGAGACACGGUCCAGACUCCUACGGGAGGCAGCAGCGGGGAAUUUUGGACAAUGGGGGCAACCCUGAUCCAGCAAUGCCGCGUGAGUGAAGAAGGCCUUCGGGUUGUAAAGCUCUUUUGUCAGGGAAGAAACGGUUGUGGCUAAUAUCCAUGGCUAAUGACGGUACCUGAAGAAUAAGCACCGGCUAACUACGUGCCAGCAGCCGCGGUAACAC
rnacentral:rRNA from 1 species